rnacentral:pre_miRNA from 1 species
AACAUUCAACGCUGUCGGUGAGUUUUGUUCUUCCCGACCUUAAACCAUCGACCGUUGACUGUACC